rnacentral:rRNA from 1 species
AGUGGACGCUGGCGGUAGGCCUAACACAUGCAAGUCGAACGGCAGCACAGUAAGAGCUUGCUCUUACGGGUGGCGAGUGGCGGACGGGUGAGGAAUACAUCGGAAUCUACUUUUUCGUGGGGGAUAACGUAGGGAAACUUACGCUAAUACCGCAUACGACCUACGGGUGAAAGCAGGGGAUCUUCGGACCUUGCGCGAUUGAAUGAGCCGAUGUCGGAUUAGCUAGUUGGCGGGGUAAAGGCCCACCAAGGCGACGAUCCGUAGCUGGUCUGAGAGGAUGAUCAGCCACACUGGAACUGAGACAUGGUCCAGACUCCUACGGGAGGCAGCAGUGGGGAAUAUUGGACAAUGGGCGCAAGCCUGAUCCAGCCAUACCGCGUGGGUGAAGAAGGCCUUCGGGUUGUAAAGCCCUUUUGUUGGGAAAGAAAAGCAGCAGGUUAAUACCCCGCUGUUCUGACGGUACCCAAAGAAUAAGCACCGGCUAACUUCGUG